AUGAAGAAAUCCGGCCUCUUCGCUGCCUCCGUCGCCGCCGCAUCCGCCACCGCCGUCUCCGUUUCAUCUUCCACGCACAACUCUCAUCAUCAGGACGGCACGGCUGAGAGAAGAGGUCGCGAUGAGGUUUCUUCGUCGGAGAAAUUUGCACCGCGAUUCGAUGGUUUGCGGUUCAUAGAAACGCUGAUAACUGCUCAUAGAUGA